UACGAAGGGGGCUAGCGUUGUUCGGAUUUACUGGGCGUAAAGCGCGUGUAGGCGGACUUGUAAGUUGGGGGUGAAAUCCCGAGGCUCAACCUCGGAACUGCCUCCAAAACUACAAGUCUGGAGCAAGAUAGAGGCAAGUGGAAUUGCGAGUGUAGAGGUGAAAUUCGUAGAUAUUCGCAAGAACACCCGUGGCGAAGGCGGCCAUCUGGACCAGCACUGACGCUGAGGCACGAAAGCCAGGGGAGCGAACGGG
rnacentral:rRNA from 1 species